ACCAGCAAGCUAAAGAGCUGAAAUCACAAAGAGCUGAUAAUCACUAAGAGCUGAUAUCACUUGAGCUUGCCUAAGGUUGCCUGUGGCUGGAAGUUACUUGGGAGCUUGGGUGCUGUGCUCAGCCCACUGAGCUAUCCUGGCGAAGGCAGCCCACUGGGCAAAGCCCGGCUGGAAGCCGCCCGAUACUCUGCCAUCAGUGGGAGGUGCCCUGAACACAACAAAGCACAACAUCAAACCAAACAAAAUGUCUCAGAAAGCUACAGUAUUUGCAAUGAGCUGUCACAGAACCCCUUUCCUGCUUUUGAAAGAAGUGGCUGAAUGCCCAGCACCUGCCUCCAUACUGACAUUUUUCUGAAACACCAAGGGAAAGGAAGAAAGACUGAAGGGACUGCAGCACAGUUUUGUAAACUAAAGAGAUGAAGAGCAGAUAGGGAGAGAGAGAAGAAAAAAACUUUUAAAAUGUUAGCUAAAACACAGCAACAGCAACAGGAAUAACACCUCCUACCUAUGAACAUUGCUCUUCAAGAUUAGCCAGAGGGAUGAAACACAAAGAACAGUGACUUCCCAGGAAAACAAAAACAAAAAAAGCCAAUAAAAGGCAAAACCAAACUAAAACUAAGAUUCAUAUCUUAUUGUUGAUUUGGCUGUGUGAUAGCAAUAACAGAGUUACUGAGGCUUGGCAUAUGUAAAUUUAGCACAAUGGAGGUAGGUUUAUGUCAUAAACACCUACAGUAAUAGUUCUAUGUACAUAAA